rnacentral:tRNA from 1 species
GCGGACGUGGUGGAAUGGCAGACACGAUAGCCUUAGGAGCUAUUGGGGCAACCCAUGGGGGUUCAAGUCCCUCCGUCCGCA